UGUGACAGGUGUUGUCACAGAUGUGACAGGUGUUGUCACAGAUGUGACAGGUGUUGUCACAGAUGUGACAGGUGUUGUCACAGAUGUGACAGGUGUUGUGACAGCAUGUAUUCUACCUGUGACAACACCUGUCAAC